rnacentral:rRNA from 1 species
UAGCUGAGAGGAGGUGCAUGGCCGUCGUCAGUUCGUACUGUGAAGCAUCCUGUUAAGUCAGGCAACGAGCGAGACCCACGCCAACAGUUGCCAGCAUGUCCUCCGGGAUGAUGGGGACACUGUUGGGACCGCCUCUGCUAAAGAGGAGGAAGGAAUGGGCAACGGUAGGUCAGCAUGCCCCGAAUUAUCCGGGCUACACGCGGGCUACAAUGGUCAGGACAAUGGGUAUCGACACCGAGAGGUGGAGGCAAUCUCCUAAACCUGUCCUUAGUUCGGAUUGUGGGCUGCAACUCGCCCACAUGAAGCUGGAAUCCGUAGUAAUCGCGUUUCAAAAUAGCGCGGUGAAUAUCGUCCCUGCUCCUU